UUGAACGCUGGCGGCAGGCCUAACACAUGCAGGUCGAACGGUAACAGGAAGAAGCUUGCUUCUUUGCUGACGAGUGGCGGACGGGUGAGUAAUGUCUGGGAAACUGCCUGAUGGAGGGGGAUAACUACUGGAAACGGUAGCUAAUACCGCAUAAUGUCGCAAGACCAAAGAGGGGGACCUUCGGGCCUCUUGCCAUCGGAUGUGCCCAGAUGGGAUUAGCUAGUAGGUGGGGUAACGGCUCACCUAGGCGACGAUCCCUAGCUGGUCUGAGAGGAUGACCAGCCACACUGGAACUGAGACACGGUCCAGACUCCUACGGGAGGCAGCAGUGGGGAAUAUUGCACAAUGGGCGCAAGCCUGAUGCAGCUAUGCCGCGUGUAUGAAGAAGGCCUUCGGGUUGUAAAGUACUUUCAGCGGGGAGGAAGGGAGUAAAGUUAAUACCUUUGCUCAUUGACGUUACCCGCAGAAGAAGCACCGGCUAACUCCGUG
rnacentral:rRNA from 1 species